rnacentral:rRNA from 1 species
AAACUGCCUGAUGGAGGGGGAUAACUACUGGAAACGGUAGCUAAUACCGCAUAACGUCGCAAGACCAAAGAGGGGGACCUUCGGGCCUCUUGCCAUCGGAUGUGCCCAGAUGGGAUUAGCUUGUUGGUGGGGUAACGGCUCACCAAGGCGACGAUCCCUAGCUGGUCUGAGAGGAUGACCAGCCACACUGGAACUGAGACACGGUCCAGACUCCUACGGGAGGCAGCAGUGGGGAAUAUUGCACAAUGGGCGCAAGCCUGAUGCAGCCAUGCCGCGUGUAUGAAGAAGGCCUUCGGGUUGUAAAGUACUUUCAGCGGGGAGGAAGGGAGUAAAGUUAAUACCUUUGCUCAUUGACGUUACCCGCAGAAGAAGCACCGGCUAACUCCGUGCCAGCAGCCGCGGUAAUACGGAGGGUGCAAGCGUUAAUCGGAAUUACUGGGCGUAAAGCGCACGCAGGCGGUUUGUUAAGUCAGAUGUGAAAUCCCCGGGCUCAACCUGGGAACUGCAUCUGAUACUGGCAAGCUUGAGUCUCGUAGAGGGGGGUAGAAUUCCAGGUGUAGCGGUGAAAUGCGUAGAGAUCUGGAGGAAUACCGGUGGCGAAGGCGGCCCCCUGGACGAAGACUGACGCUCAGGUGCGAAAGCGUGGGGAGCAAACAGGAUUAGAUACCCUGGUAGUCCACGCCGUAAACGAUGUCGACUUGGAGGUUGUGCCCUUGAGGCGUGGCUUCCGGAGCUAACGCGUUAAGUCGACCGCCUGGGGAGUACGGCCGCAAGGUUAAAACUCAAAUGAAUUGACGGGGGCCCGCACAAGCGGUGGAGCAUGUGGUUUAAUUCGAUGCAACGCGAAGAACCUUACCUGGUCUUGACAUCCACCUCGCGAGAGCAAGCGGACCUCAUAAAGUGCGUCGUAGUCCGGAUUGGAGUCUGCAACUCGACUCCAUGAAGUCGGAAUCGCUAGUAAUCGUGGAUCAGAAUGCCACGGUGAAUACGUUCCCGGGCCUUGUACACACCGCCCGUCACACCAUGGGAGUGGGUUGCAAAAGAAGUAGGUAGCUUAACCUUCGGGAGGGCGCUUACCACUUUGUGAUUCAUGACUGGGGUGAAGUCGUAACAAGGUAACCGUAGGGGAACCUGCGGUUGGAUCACCUCCUUACCUUAAAGAAGC